AUACGGAAGGUCCGGGCGUCAUCCGGAUUUAUUGGGUUUAAAGGGAGCGCAGGCGGAGAUGCAAGCGUGACGUCAAAUUUCGGGGCUCAACCCCGUCUCGCGUCGCGAACUGCGUCCCUUGGUUGCGGGAAGGGGAGGCGGAACUCGUGGUGUAGCGGUGAAAUGCAUAGAUAUCACGAAGAACUCCGAUCGCGAAGGCAGCCUUCCGGCCCGUCAACGACGCUCAUGCUCGAAGGUGCGGGUAUCAAACAGGAUUAGAUACCCUGGUAGUCCGCACAGUAAACGAUGGACACCCGCGGUUUGGCCUAUAUGGCUGAGCCGCCAAGCGAAAGCGUUAAGUGUCCCACCUGGGGAGUGCGCCGGCAACGGUGAAACUCAAAUGAAUUGACGGGG
rnacentral:rRNA from 1 species